UACAGAGGGUGCAAGCGUUGUUCGGAAUUAUUGGGCGUAAAGGGCGCGUAGGCGGUGCCACAAGUCACCUGUGAAAUCUCCGGGCUUAACUCGGAGCCUGCAGGCGAAACUGUGGUGCUGGAGUGUGGGAGAGGUGCGUGGAAUUCCCGGUGUAGCGGUGAAAUGCGUAGAGAUCGGAAAGAACACCAACGGCGAAAGCACUCUGCUGGGCCGACACUGACACUGAGAGACGAAAGCUAGGGGAGCGAAUGGG
rnacentral:rRNA from 1 species